rnacentral:rRNA from 1 species
AGCUCCAAUAGCGUAUACUAAAGUUGUUGCAGUUAAAAGCUCGUAGUUGAAUUUCUGGUCGUGAAACGUGGUCCGUUCCGCGAGGAAUGUGUACUGUCGAUUUAUGUCCAUCCUCGGAGUUAGUGUGCAUUACUUUAAUCGGUCGUGUACACAACCUCCGUCAUUUACUGUGAGCAAAAUAGAGUGUUCAAAGCAGGCUUAUGCCGUUGAAUAUAUUAGCAUGGAAUAAUAAGAUAUGACUUUGGUCUAUUUUGUUGGUUUGCACUCCAAAGUAAUGAUUAAUAGGGAUAGUUGGGGGUAUUCGUAUUCAAUUGUCAGAGGUGAAAUUCUUGGAUUUAUGGAAGACGAACUACUGCGAAAGCAUUUACCAAGGAUGUUUUCA